UUAAAGGGUAUUCGCAAACGACCGUGUAGAUUUGUCCUUGUUUUUUUUGUAAAUAUUUAUCCGGAUGAUCCAAUAUCAAGCCAGGAACAACUGGCUUAUGAUACGGGCAAAUAAGCAAGAGAGCGUUCGCAGGACAGCCAAAAACGCUGCCGUUGUCAGCAACCAAGCAACGGAACGGAAUAGGAACAACGGAAGACAACCGGAUUCUCAAGAGGAAAACGAACCAUGUCCUCUAGAGCAUUGUGUAAACCGGAAAUAUAUGCAUUCGAUUACUGGCCAUAAUAGAAGACAACGCGAAGCCAGACAAGCCGGAAUAUAAUCUGUCGCUGGUCUAGCAAUGAUCAGACGAGGAGUGAAAGUGUGUUGGGGAAACAGUAAGAGUUAAAAUUAACAAUAAUAACGGCAAUAAUUAA